rnacentral:rRNA from 1 species
GAUUUCUGGCUUGAUACAUUUUGCCGGCCACGGUUUCGUGUGUUAGUGCUUGAUGUUCUGGCCAUCCUUCCAAUCGCUAUUUACCUUUCUUCAUUGAUUGGUAAGUGGUAUUGGAUCUUUUACUUUGAAAAAAUUAGAGUGUUUAAAGCAGGCGUUAAGCUAUGAAUACAUUAGCAUGGAAUAAUAAUUUAGGACUUUGUUCUUAUUUUGUUGGUUUCUAAGGAUGAAGUAAUGAUUGAUAGGGAUCGUUGGGGGUGCUAGUAUUCAGCGGCCAGAGGUGAAAUUCUUGGAUUCGCUGAAGACUAACUUAUGCGAAAGCAUU